rnacentral:rRNA from 1 species
GAUGAACGCUGGCGGCGUGCCUAAUACAUGCAAGUCGAGCGAACAGACGAGGAGCUUGCUCCUCUGACGUUAGCGGCGGACGGGUGAGUAACACGUGGAUAACCUACCUAUAAGACUGGGAUAACUUCGGGAAACCGGAGCUAAUACCGGAUAAUAUAUUGAACCGCAUGGUUCAAUAGUGAAAGACGGUUUUGCUGUCACUUAUAGAUGGAUCCGCGCCGCAUUAGCUAGUUGGUAAGGUAACGGCUUACCAAGGCAACGAUGCGUAGCCGACCUGAGAGGGUGAUCGGACACACUGGAACUGAGACACGGUCCAGACUCCUACGGGAGGCAGCAGUAGGGAAUCUUCCGGAAUGGGCGAAAGCCUGACGGAGCAACGCCGCGUGAGUGAUGAAGGUCUUCGGAUCGUAAAACUCUGUUAUUAGGGAAGAACAAAUGUGUAAGUAACUAUGCACGUCUUGACGGUACCUAAUCAGAAAGCCACGGCUAACUACGUG